GGGCAAGCUACUGCUGACACAUGCAGUCGAACGGUGAUGAGGAGCUUGCUCUUUUGAUCAGUGGCGAACGGGUGAGUAACACGUGAGCAAUCUGCCCUUGACUCUGGGAUAAGCGUUGGAAACGACGUCUAAUACCGGAUACGACCUUGGAAGGCAUCUUCUGGGGUGGAAAGAAUUUUGGUCGAGGAUGAGCUCGCGGCCUAUCAGCUAGUUGGUGAGGUAGUGGCUCACCAAGGCGACGACGGGUAGCCGGCCUGAGAGGGUGACCGGCCACACUGGGACUGAGACACGGCCCAGACUCCUACGGGAGGCAGCAGUGGGGAAUAUUGCACGAUGGGCGAAAGCCUGAUGCAGCAACGCCGCGUGAGGGACGACGGCCUUCGGGUUGUAAACCUCUUUUAGUAGGGAAGAAGCGAAAGUGACGGUACCUGCAGAAAAAGCACCGGCUAACUACGUGCCAGCAGCCGCGGUAAUACGUAGGGUGCAAGCGUUGUCCGGAAUUAUUGGGCGUAAAGAGCUCGUAGGCGGUUUGUCGCGUCUGCUGUGAAAACCCGAGGCUCAACCUCGGGCCUGCAGUGGGUACGGGCAGACUAGAGUGCGGUAGGGGAGAUUGGAAUUCCUGGUGUAGCGGUGGAAUGCGCAGAUAUCAGGAGGAACACCAAUGGCGAAGGCAGAUCUCUGGGCCGUAACUGACGCUGAGGAGCGAAGGCGUGGGGAGCGAACAGGAUUAGAUACCCUGGUAGUCCAUGCCGUAAACGUUGGGAACUAGAUGUGGGGACCAUUCCACGGUCUCCGUGUCGCAGCUAACGCAUUAAGUUCCCCGCCUGGGGAGUACGGCCGCAAGGCUAAAACUCAAAGGAAUUGACGGGGGCCCGCACAAGCGGCGGAGCAUGCGGAUUAAUUCGAUGCAACGCGAAGAACCUUACCAAGGCUUGACAUAUAGAGGAAACGGUUGGAAACAGUCGCCCCGCAAGGUCUCUAUACAGGUGGUGCAUGGUUGUCGUCAGCUCGUGUCGUGAGAUGUUGGGUUAAGUCCCGCAACGAGCGCAACCCUCGUCCUAUGUUGC
rnacentral:rRNA from 2 species